GCGCCUUAAAUCUUGUCUAUUUUGGAAACGCACGCAAGUUUAGCUGUGCUUUCUAAACCGUGAUGGAGGGAGUAAUACUGUGACUUAAUAGUACCGUAUUCUGGGAAGCCAUAAAUGACAAGCAACUGCUUUAUGCAUUCAUUACCAACUGUACAAGAAUGUUAAGGAUCAGGGGCCCAGAUUGCCAACUUUGAAUGGCUCACCAAAAUGAGCUCUUUCUUUCGUUUCCCUAGCUAAGGGCAUCUCCAACGCAAUUCCUUGAACACCCCAAACAUGCGCUGGCACAUCCAAGCAGGGGUCCUCGCGGACACAGAUACAAGAGUCGGUCAUCUAAACCUAUAUCUCAAAUACUCAUCUCUAUUAACACCUUAGUAGCAGCGGAAUGGUACUAAUCCACAGAUUAAUAGCUUUCCGCCAAACACUUGAAGAAAGGUUUCCGCCAAAACAUGGGCGACUCACUAUGAUACUAAUGCAUAAACUAAGUAGUUUCUGCCAAACACUUGAAGAAGAAGAAAAUGAAGCAAAGUGGCUUCCGCCGAAACAUGCUAGGAGAUUUCAAAGCCUUCCGCCAAAACGCCAAGCAUGUCUUCCUCUGUACAACCAAAAGAAAAGUCAGCAACGCCCUUCCGCCAUCCGAACUUAAAAGAAAUGAGAGCUACAUGAUGACUUUGAUUGACCAAACCGAUGUCCAAACUCCCGCAAACCUUUCCCAAGUUUGCUUUCGGUUUGCGACACCAUGAUGGAUGGCAAAAAACAUUCAAACACCUUAGUCCGGGUGCUUGCUGGGGGUUUAAGGGAUGGCGUUGGAGAUGCGCUCAUUCUAAUGAAGUUGUUCCUAGACGCCAGCGUGACAUAAACAAACUCAGAAACUAAACGGAUGAACGCAUGUGGAUGCACAGUUAACUUCCUAGCUGCCUACUCUUUUCUUCAGCAUCACAUUGUCAUGUGAUCAUGUCACACCAAGUUUGGCUCGUAAAGCCAAAGCUUUCCCCCGCAUGUAGCCUACGCAACCCAGCAUCUAGCUUGCAGAUCCGAGACAACACAAGACCACAUGAGAGUAGAAAGGCUCUCCCCAUCAACCCAUCCAGAGCACUACAAUGACCACUACCCAAAUACAGACAUAGAAAAAGGAAUAUGUGUGGACUUGUUCGUACCAGAAGCACCUACCCAAAAGGGACCCAAAGGCCGGUAGUGUUGGGCAUCGACCCAUGCACAUGCAUGAUGCACGGACGAUCCCUUGGCAACGGCUGCUGCCAUCGUCACAGCACCGGUGGACCAAGGCCGUCUCCUGCCUGGCCAUGCCCUCGGCCACUUGUUCGCCCCCGUCCGAAUCAAAAUCCAUGUGGACGAGCCGCGAUCACACACCGAACGCUCACCCCCACAGUGCUCUUCUGAGACAACAUUAAAAACCACCAGGAAAAGGGGUCAAGGUCACACACUGUGCGCAGAAGAAAGCAGAGGGAAAGCACUGUGCUAGAUUGACCGCCCGUGACUCCGGCCAGCCCGGGAUGUUCUUGGCGCGACGCCUGUCCGGGAUCUGCCCGAGAAGAGGCUCUCAAAAGGUUAAAAAGUAAAAGUAGAAUUAGAUAAGCUCAUGUGCUAAUCCGGUGGCGAUGAUAAGUGCUCUCCUCAAAAGCUGGGAGAAAAGUAGAGGGCUGGUCUUGUGCUUAUCAU
rnacentral:lncRNA from 1 species